rnacentral:lncRNA from 1 species
GGCAUCAAAAUCAAGAAACUUGCAUUCUAAAUUUAAAACAGAGGUUUCAAUAAAGUCGUCCAGACAUUGGGGUUCCGAAAUUGGCCCAACAAGAAUUAUAAACUCAGUCAGCUUAUGAAAAACUGCCCGGCAUUGAGCCUCAAUAUCAGUCCCAAAACGAGGAAAUUUAGUGAGGCUUUGUGAGAAGCUGCCUAGUCAUGGGCCUAUA